AUAAAUUUUAUAUGUUUCCCAUUGUAUUAACCAUUUACUAUAGCUUACAUAUAAUUAACUCUAGUUGCCAUCCUGGCCUUAGGAAUGUGGAGGUGACCCCAUGGUGAACCCAUGGCACACAAACACAAACAUGGUUGAGGAGUUCUUGUAAACAUUCUUAUCUCUGAUAAUUACCAGGUGGUUAAAGACUCACUAAAGUGUGUCUAGUGAUUUUCCAUGUGUGUGUGUGUUAAGGGUAUAAGAACAGGCUUCGCCCACAGAUGUGUGGGCUUGUUACUUUGACUUUCAUGUGAGUAACAUGCUCCCGGUAUCGUGAAUAAAGCUGCAGUCUCACACCAGUUGUCUUGGAAUAAUUUUGACCACAUAUUUGGCGACGAGGAUGGGAUACCUAUCUCUGAGACAUAGCGAGGAGGACCAAAGGCGCAGGACCCUAACCAAGUCGACUGGAGGGAGAUCUCUUUGUGAUCUUGGGAGAAGGCCGUCAUCAGCAACCAACACUGCUCAGCGGCACCCAGCCUGGCCAGAGGGAAUCCUCCUGUGACUCGGAUACGGUAACACCCGUGUUUGGUGGUCACAGACAACUUGGUGGUGGCGUUGGCAUUUCCACAAAGUUUGCAAAGGACAAACCCAGCCAAGCCAGGCUCCUAGGAACUCAUCAAAGGAUUGCAAAGGAAGAAAACGCUGGAACCAGGACAAAUGGAAAGGACUUUUCGAAGAAUUAACAUCUACACCUACAUGUACAGCCAUAAGGAUUUCAGAGUGGUGAAGAAUCCAGAACAUACAUGAACUGAACUGAACAUAACCAACACGUGGUUGCAAGAGAGGGUUGACAAAGUAUCUAUCUAUCUAUCUAUCUAUCAAACAUAUUUUGCAAUAGACUGAAGAAUGGACUUUUGGGGAGAAUGAAUAAAAUAUCACUAGCAUCACAUUAAAAUAUUCUUUCUCAGUUUAGCUAGAUAAACGUUACAAGUUUGUUGUUUUGGUUUAAUUUUAUUUGGACAGUUACCUGAGGAGGGUCUAAACACCCAAGUCAGCUCUGCUGUUGAAGACUAGGAUUAGGUUUUAUUUUUGGUUUUGAAUAACUGAGAAAACAGAAGAUGUUGAUGUUUGUUUUGCUUAUUAUUCAUCUAAUCAUCCCUUAAGAAAGAAGUUUGUGAUAAUAAUAAAGUCUGUGAGUUAGCCUUCCAUGCUAAAUUAACAUUAACAGGAAAUAAUGAAAUAUGUUGGAUAUGCCAAGAAAAAUCUUUUCAAGUGUGAGUGUUUCUGUAUUAAGUGUUUCCCUAUAGAACUUUUCAGGAUUCUCUGUGUGGUCUAUUGACUACUGUAUGUACCAGCCCUCAAUGUUUAUCAACAAUGACAUGGUCCCAUGCCAAGUGGAAAGUCUACAGAUUCAGAGAAAUACUAGAUAUUACGAAAGAGGAAAUUAUAGAACUAUAAAAUAAGUCUAACCUUCUGUUUAUUGUAUCAUGAAUAUACAUAUUAUAUAUUAAUGCGGUAGGAAUGGAGCUUCAUAGCUCCACAGGGGGGAAUAUGUGGGAUAAAUUUUAUAUGUUUCCCAUUGUAUUAACCAUUUACUAUAGCUUACAUAUAAUUAACUCUAGUUGCCAUCCUGGCCUUAGGAAUGUGGAGGUGACCCCAUGGUGAACCCAUGGCACACAAACACAAACAUGGUUGAGGAGUUCUUGUAAACAUUCUUAUCUCUGAUAAUUACCAGGUGGUUAAAGACUCACUAAAGUGUGUCUAGUGAUUUUCCAUGUGUGUGUGUGUUAAGGGUAUAAGAACAGGCUUCGCCCACAGAUGUGUGGGCUUGUUACUUUGACUUUCAUGUGAGUAACAUGCUCCCGGUAUCGUGAAUAAAGCUGCAGUCUCACA